rnacentral:lncRNA from 1 species
AGUAAUUAUUGUUUCUCAGUGAAUGCUUUGGUUGGGUCAGUUUGGUUUGUGGCUUGCCUUUGUUGUUUGGUCGAUUUAUUUUAACUGCUAGCAAAAGGAGCCCUUGGCUUGGAGGCAGGGGUCCUCGCGCUGCCCAGGCACAGCGCUGGUGGGGAACGCGUGGCUGCGGCUGUUGGACUGUCACCGCUCCGGACGCUUGGAGGUCUUCGCUGCUAGAGAGUCUGAUUUCGAUCUCUCUGGCUGAGUAGGUCCACCUGAGGGUCACUCUCGCAGUCCCGCCGGAGUCAGCCAGCCUCAGUGGUGCUCCCGACCGCCCCACCCGGCCAUGCCCUCCCACAGGGCUGGCUAGGCUCCCAGGCAGCGCCCAGCUCCUCCCCGCCAGCCAAAGACGCGUCCAGCCGGGCGGGCACCAAGAGCACCGAAAGCAUUGCACAUGCCCGCCCCCCUCCCCCCAAUAGUUCCUGCCCCAAGACCCGUGCUGGCGACCCCUCUGCGGAGGGAGAUGGCCCUGAGGGGACGCUCAGUGAUGCCCGGUCUCUGGGCCACCACGCAAAGCCGAGGCUUGAGCGCAGCCGGCACCUGCUCUGUGCGCCAGGCGCUGCCAUACCCACUGCUCUCACCACCCCUGGGCUGGAGACAAAGCGCAUGAGCCACGCGCGCGGCAGCGCGAGCAUCAUUAAUCAGAGGAAACUGGCGCGCUGCCCCGGCCCCGCCACCCUGCCUCUCCCUCCCAGCCACCAGGCGCGCCCCGGAGCCCAGCCCUUACCUACCUCGCUGGGGUACCACCUCGAGUCCUAGGGAUGUUUGGCCAGAGCUUCUGGGUUUCUGGUACUCCGUGCUUACUCUCCGAGGCCAAGUGCAGAAAACAGCCCGGGGCAGCAACACCUCACCCCACCCAAGAAAUGAUUCUCAGCUUUGAGCUCUCAGAUGCCCAGGCUUUAGAGCUGAGAGAGACUACAAGUCCUGCUGCUCAGCGAGACUGGUCCUCUGGAUGCAAGACCGCCCAGAUCAGUGCUGCCUGCCCCACUGGGCGCUGAUGCGCUGACUGAGAGAAACCUUGCACUGCAGAGCCCAGAGGGGUAGGGCUGGGGCAGGGAGCAGAGUUGACACCUGAAGAAAUAAAAGCUCUGAUUUACCCAAAAAAAAAAAAAAAAAAAAAAAAA